rnacentral:tRNA from 1 species
AAAAUCCGUUGGCUUUAUUGACCUUGAGGGUUCAAGUCCCUCUACCCCCA